rnacentral:misc_RNA from 1 species
UUUCCGUAGGUGAACCUGCGGAGGGAUCAUUAAUGAGUUGUCAUGGGGUUCGAUGCUGGCAGCCAAUUUUUGGAUGCAUGUGCUUGCCCUAACAAUCAUCUUCCAAACACCUGUGCACAUUUUUGAGGGAGUCUUGAGUUGGUUGCCGCUCUUGGGUGAUUUUCUCACAUUCCCUUAAAUCAUUAUACGCUAUUAACAAUGUUGAACGUGCUCUGUGCCGCAAGGCUAUUAAUAUAAUACAACUUUUAACAACGGAUCUCUUGGCUCUC